rnacentral:rRNA from 1 species
AUGCCUCUUAAAGUUAAGGCAUUCUCUUGGUUAGUAAUCAAAAAUAGAAUUCUGACCAAGGACAAUCUGAGUAAAAAAGGCUGGAAAGGUGCUAAGUUUUGUGAAUUUUGUGACUGUGAAGAGAGUGUGAAUCAUUUAUUUUUCUCUUGUUCCUCAGCUAAGUUCCUGUGGAAUAUUGUGGGAUGUGCUCUAGGGAACUAGAGAGUUCCAAUGUCUUUUUUCGACCUAUGCCAGAACUGGUUGUCUAGCUAUACUAGCAAAGAUAGAGUAGUUUUUUUAUUGGGUACUGCUGCUCUCUUGUGGUCUAUAUGGAAAACAAGGAACAAAUCCUGUUUCCAAAGUGUUAUGCCUAGAGAUCCUACUGACAUUAUCUUUCUUGUUUGUUCCCCACUUGACUCUUGGAAAAAUCUGCAGAAAAGAGGGGUGCAAAGCAUGCUUCAUCAGGCGUCUAGACGUAUCGUGAGGGUGACUCGUGAUAUCUUCAGAGGAGGGCAUGGUUUGGCGCCACAUGUGAGAAGGAUUUUGUGA